rnacentral:rRNA from 1 species
GGCUUCGGCCUUAGUGGCGCACGGGUGCGUAACGCGUGGGAAUCUGCCCUUAGGUUCGGAAUAACAGCUGGAAACGGCUGCUAAUACCGGAUGAUAUCGCGAGAUCAAAGAUUUAUCGCCUGAGGAUGAGCCCGCGUUGGAUUAGGUAGUUGGUGGGGUAAAGGCCUACCAAGCCGACGAUCCAUAGCUGGUCCGAGAGGAUGAUCAGCCACACUGGGACUGAGACACGGCCCAGACUCCUACGGGAGGCAGCAGUGGGGAAUAUUGGACAAUGGGCGAAAGCCUGAUCCAGCAAUGCCGCGUGAGUGAUGAAGGCCCUAGGGUUGUAAAGCUCUUUUACCCGGGAAGAUAAUGACUGUACCGGGAGAAUAAGCCCCGGCUAACUCCGUGCCAGCAGCCGCGGUAAUACGGAGGGGGCUAGCGUCGUUCGGAAUUACUGGGCGUAAAGCGCACGUAGGC